rnacentral:rRNA from 1 species
UACGAAGGGGCUAGCGUUGUUCGGAAUUACUGGGCGUAAAGCGCACGUAGGCGGAUCGAUCAGUCAGGGUGAAAUCCCAGGCUCAACCCUGGAACUGCCUUUGAUACUGUCGAUCUGGAGUAUGGAAGAGGUGAGUGGAAUUCCGAGUGUAGAGGUGAAAUUCGUAGAUAUUCGGAGGAACACCAGUGGCGAAGGCGGCUCACUGGUCCAUUACUGACGCUGAG